rnacentral:tmRNA from 1 species
GGGGACGUUACGGAUUCGACAGGGAUAGAUCGAGCUUAAGUGGCGAGUCGAGGGGGUCGGCCUCGUAAAAACGCCAAAGCCAAUAACUGGCAAAGAAAACAACAAUUUCGCUUUAGCUGCCUAAGUCAGCUAGCGGUUCCUCCCUCCAUCGCCCAUGUGGUAGGGUAAGGGACUCAACGAUAGUGGGCUACGCUGGAUUCCGCCGUCUGAGGAUGAAAGAAGAGAACAAUCAGACUAGCUGCUCGGCCGCCUGUCGGCAGGCAAAAGAGUUAGUGAAAGCGUAAUAUGUCGACUAUACUCGUAGAAGCUUAAGUGGCGAUAUUUCUGGACGUGGGUUCAACUCCCACCGUCUCCAUAC